UACGUAGGUGGCAAGCGUUGUCCGGAUUUAUUGGGUUUAAAGGGUGCGUAGGCGGCCAUGUAAGUCAGUUGUGAAAUACCCCGGCUCAACCGGGGGGGUGCGAUUGAUACUGCGUGGCUUGAGUGGCAGCGAGGUUGGCGGAAUUGACGGUGUAGCGGUGAAAUGCAUAGAUAUCGUCAAGAACACCGAUAGCGAAGGCAGCCAACUAGGGGCCAACUGACGCUGAGGCACGAAAGUGCGGGGAUCAAACAGG
rnacentral:rRNA from 1 species